rnacentral:misc_RNA from 1 species
AUAAAAAUCUGCCAGCUAUGCCAUAUCUAUGGCAGCUGGUGUCACUCUUACCUAACUUGAAGUUCAUAGCAGCAUUUUGUAGUGUAUGACUUCUAGGCGUGGCUGCACAUUAUCAUUGUGAUGUGCCUUGUCUGUAGCGCCUCUUGCACUUUUUCCUUCACGUGAGUACCUAUUCAUGGCACUCUAAAGGUGGCAAUUAAUGAAACUGUGGCAUAACAAUAGAUUAACUCGACCAACAAUUUAAAAGAAUGGUAAAAUGAAACAGAAAAUAAAGUUGCAUUCUGAUGAGUUAUUAAAACAGAAAAUGCUUAUUCUUAUUACUGGGACCCCAACCAGAUUUGACACUUAAUUUAGCUCCCAAAAUGACAGCUACUUAUUUUUCUUAAACUUAAAUAUGUGAAACUAAUGGGAAAAGGGUUUGACUUCGUACAAUGACAUCUCUUCUGCAGCAGAAUUGCAGAUCUGGAAAUUAACCAGGACAACUGCAGCCAUUCAAUAGAAGUUGUUUUAGACAUUGUGUACUGUGGAAGCUUAUCCAUGAUCUUUUACAUGUUAGUGUCAAUAUAAAUCUGUAUUGACCUAAACUUCUAUGUUAGCAUUUUUGCUUGAUCAUUAUUUUGUCAUCUUUGGAAUUUUGCAUGUUUAUAUGAUUUAGAUUUCUUGUUUUGAACUUGUGAUCUGGCCGUUAUAACUGUAUAUGCCUUAUGGCUGCUUAAUAGUUGUGAAUAUUGUAUCCCACUCUCACUAUUUUCCUAUCUUCAUGCAUGCGGUCUGUUAAUGCUCAUUCUGUGUGUUCUGCAUUUCUUGUCAUUUCUCUG